GGUGGCCACAAAAUGGGGAAGGAAGUGAAGCCCUGCGCCCUGUGCCAAGGCUUUACUGCUGCGAGGACUUUCAGGAGAGGCUGAAACAACAACAACAAACCAGUAAAAACAAUGCUACCUUAGGGAAGCUCCCAGGAACUAAACUAGUCCACAUUGGAGAGAGCAGAUAAAUCCCUACAAGCAAAGAGUUGCUGUUGAUGAAUGGCAGGGAUAGUGCCCAUAUGCUGUGGGCUGACGACGUGCUAGGCCCCAGCUCCAUGCUUCCCAUGAGAAUGUCCUCGGCGAGCAUCCAGAGAACGCCUACAAGGCAGAGAAAGUAAAUUUUAGCAUGCUGAGGUGGCCUGCUGGGGGUUUGACAGUCAGUGCAUGGUGGAGCUAGAGUUGGA